CCAAUAGCGUAUAUUAAAGUUGUUGCGGUUAAAAAGCUCGUAGUUGAAUUUCGGGGUUAGUAGGUUGGUCAUGCCUCUGGUAUGUACUGGUCUCACUGAUUCCUCCUUCCUGAUGAGCCGUAAUGCCAUUAAUUUGGUGUUGCGGGGAAUUUGGACUGUUACUUUGAAAAAAUUAGAGUGUUUAAAGCAAGCUAACGCUUGAAUACAUUAGCAUGGAAUAAUGAAAUAGGACGUUCGAUCCUAUUUUGUUGGUUUCUAGGAUUGACGUAAUGAUUAAUAGGGAUAGUUGGGGGCAUUAGUAUUCAAUUGUCAGAGGUGAAAUUCUUGGAUUUAUUGAAGACUAACUACUGCGAAAGCAUUUGCCAAGGAUGUUUUCAUUAAUCAAGAACGAAAGUUAGGGGAUCGAAGACGAUCAGAUACCGUCGUAGUCUUAACCAUAAACUAUGCCGACUAGGGAUCGGAUGAUGUUAAUUUUUUAAUGACUCAUUCGGCGCCUUACG
rnacentral:rRNA from 1 species